rnacentral:tRNA from 1 species
UCGGGAUAGCUCAGCUGGUAGAGCANAGGACUGAAAAUCCUCGUGUCA